CAUGUUAGUUUAUAGAAUGCAAAUAUGUCUUGUUUGAGGUUAAUUAUGGGUGUGAUGAUUAUGUGC
rnacentral:tRNA from 1 species